rnacentral:lncRNA from 1 species
CAUAGAGGAAGGAUGAUUGGAAGCAAAUCCCUCUGGACAGCUGCCGUCUCAAACCUGAUGCACGUUAGCUUUGAUGAUGGAGGUGCGGAGAAGACAGGGAGAAAGAAAAAAGAUCAAAGAAAGAAUAAUGCAUUUCCUGCCUUUGAUGAAAAACAUGCUAUUGCUUUGUCAUCACAUAGAGAAAGGAUGAUUGGAAGCAAAUCCCUCCGGACAGCUGCUGUUUCAAACCUGAUGCACAUUAGCUUUGAUGAUGGAGGUGCGGAGAAGACAGGGAGCGAGAAGAAAAGGUCACAAAUCAAGCAAGAUUGUCCCGAUAAUCCUCAUUACCACUACCAAUUCUCCGUACUUAAAAGCUCUCAUUGGAAUAGGUGCUGAUGGCUACAAAGCCAGGAUCUGCAAAAUUAGUUUUGAUAUUUUGUAGAUAUCCAGCGAAGGUAUUUCCAGUUCUCUAAAGGAUUCUUAAAUGCAUGCGAUUUUCUCCUCAAAGUGGAAAAAGAAUAUACUUUCAGAACCAUUCUCCAUGCAAGUUUAUGUUGUGUGUACGUAGCUGAUACAUUCAGUCACUGCACUGGCUGUUUUUGAUCGCAGGUUAUCCAGUGAUAUAAAGGAAGGAUGCAGUACAGGCAUUGACAUUCUCCUUCAGCACUGCAGGACUGAAUCCACGGAUUCAAGCAUGUAUGUGUAUUUUCCAAACUUCUUUAAUAAAGCCGAAAGCAAGUUUUAAAACUUUG